UUAAUGGCCUUUUUUAUUGUGCAGAUAUUCCCUUAAUCCGUAUCCGCCAGGGUAACCCUGCACCGGAGUUGAUUGGGGCAAUUUGAAGAAGAUGAAGAAGUAUCCACUUUGUAGACGGGUUUAUUUGGAGCAUUGCCGCGGGGACUGUAAUUGCAGAUAUAGAACUGUUUGUAAGGAUGUCCGGGCGUGAAAGGAUAGCCGUUGUAAUCAUCGUAAUAUCCAAUGGCUGCACAACCGACGUGAGUAGUUUCAGCCCAAACUAAUUGCGUAUAAUGGCCAAUUACUUUGCCGUUAAUCGCUUGGCAACUCCUGCAAAAAGAUAAAUUCAGGUAAUCUGAUUAGAAAAAUUGCCCCUAUGAAGAGGUGUCGCUAAAUACUUGAAAGAUACGACACUAGCACAAUCCAUGUAGUUGACCUCGUUGAACCAGCCAUCUUUGCCAUUGAUGACACUGGCCCAGUCUGUCGUGUUCCUGGGUUGCCGACUGAAACUCAUAUGCAAAUUUUGUCCAUAAUUAACUGGAUCUGGCUCUGUUCUGUGUCCAUUCCCAGGCAGCAUUAGCCAGUGCAUCGUCCCAUUUCUUUGCACACAAAGAAACGUAUUAGGCAACUCCAAAUUAUACAAAAGAACAAGAAAAGGUAUGCAGGAAUAAUUUAAUUUUCUUGUUACCAAAUUAGGCAUGGAAAUUGCAGGCGGUUGGGGUCCCGGUGAGCCUCGUUGCUCCCGAUGCGACGCCACCUUGCGUCUGAGAUGAUUGUGAAGAUCCAGAAUGAGUUUCUUGUCUUCCUCAGUGGCUCUUAGAUCUUUAAUGACAUCUUCUUCGCCAUUCCGAAACUGCUGUUAACAUAACGCACAGAAAGUUGAUUAACUUUGCAUAGCACUGACAGCCUAGAAAAAAAUUACGCAAUUGGCUUGUUGAAAACGAGCAUCGGACUCAAUAGCAUCACUUGAAGGUAUUGGACGAGGCGGUUCCGGAUUGCAAUAAGCUGGUGGAUCUUUAAUCAAGACAUCCUGACUGCUCUUACUGAGUCUCGAACUGAAGGAAAAUAGCAGAGUUUUAAACAGCCUCUGGACCAUGGUAGUUGUGCUCUUUUGCCGACUAUUCAGUGACUGGAGAUUUGAUUCCCUUUUUAUAUUCCAACCGCAUGGAGACGGACUACCCUUUAAUUGCUGGAGGGCUUGCCAUUAAGUGUUCCCAAUACGGAAAUAAAAUAACCAACCCUUGUGACCCACAUAUCUCCUUAGUGACCAAAUCUUUUGGGGGAACUGAUUUAAAGUGGAAACUGUACCACGUUUGACAACUGGGUUGGAGAAACUUUACAUUUUUUAAACAAAUCGCCACAUGCCUACGUGUUCAUAAUCACGUACGAAUCUCAGUCGAGAUCUCAUUGCUCCCACAACCAGCCAUAAUUCAUGAAUUAAAAAAAUGGGAAACCGGAUCGCGAAUUAAGGUAACCAAAUAAAUGGAUCCUUUUCAAGA